GAUCCUGGCUCAGGAUGAACGCUGGCGGCGUGCCUAACACAUGCAAGUCGAGCGGAGAUAGGUUGAAGCCUAGCGAUCCUAUCUUAGCGGCGGAUGGGUGAGUAACACGUGGGUAACCUGCCCUGUACUGGGGGAUAACAGCUGGAAACGGCUGUUAAUACCGCAUAUGCGCACGGAGCCGCAUGGCCCUGGGCGGAAAGAUUCAUCGGUACAGGAUGGGCCCGCGCCGGAUUAACUUGUUGGCGGGGUAACGGCCCACCAAGGUGAUGAUCCGUAGCCGACCUGAGAGGGUGACCGGCCACAUUGGGACUGAGACACGGCCCAAACUCCUACGGGAGGCAGCAGUGGGGGAUAUUGCACAAUGGGGGAAACCCUGAUGCAGCGACGCCGCGUGAAGGAAGAAGUAUUUCGGUAUGUAAACUUCUAUCAGCGGGGAAGAAGAUGACGGUACCCGCACAAGAAGCCCCGGCUAACUACGUGCCAGCAGCGGC
rnacentral:rRNA from 1 species